GUGCUUGCUUCGGCAGCACUCAUGCUGGAGUUGGAACGAUAAAGAGAUUACCACUGCCCCUGCACAAGGAUGGCACAGAAAUUUGUGAAGCAUUCCAUAUUUUA
ensembl:snRNA U6 U6 spliceosomal RNA